GAUAUAAGUAAGGUGAAAGCAC
rnacentral:siRNA from 1 species